rnacentral:miRNA from 1 species
GCUGACACGUCCCAGCCAAUCUCCAGCGGACCCUCCCUCCCAGACCCUCCUACUUCCUGGACAGCAUCCAUGUUGAAACUGGCUUGUAAGUUGAAACAUGGAUGCUGUCCAGGAAGUAGGAGGGUUUGGGAAGGAGGGUCUGCUGGAGAUUGGCCGGGACGUGUCAG